rnacentral:rRNA from 1 species
GAUGAACGCUGGCGGCGUGCCUAAUACAUGCAAGUCGAGCGAACGGACGAGAAGCUUGCUUCUCUGAUGUUAGCGGCGGACGGGUGAGUAACACGUGGAUAACCUACCUAUAAGACUGGGAUAACUUCGGGAAACCGGAGCUAAUACCGGAUAAUAUUUUGAAACGCAUGGUUCAAAAGUGAAAGACGGUCUUGCUGUCACUUAUAGAUGGAUCCGCGCUGCAUUAGCUGGUUGGUAAGGUAACGGCUUACCAAGGCAACGAUGCAUAGCCGACCUGAGAGGGUGACGGCCCACACGGGACCUGAAACACGGUCCAGACUCCUACGGAAGGCAGCAGUAGGGAAUCUUCCGCAAUGGGCGAAAGCCUGACGGGGCAACGCCGCGUGAGUGAUGAAGGUCUUCGGAUCGUAAAACUCUGUUAUUAGGGAAGAACAUAUGUGUAAGUAACUGUGCACAUCGUGACGGUACCUAAUCAGAAAGCCACGGCUAACUACGUG